GGGUAGUUCAAUGGUAGAAUGCUCGCCUGCGACGCGGGCGACCCGGGUUCGGUUCCCGGCCAAUGCA